rnacentral:lncRNA from 1 species
AUGUUAAGAAUAUGCCUUCUUUUGAACUUGGGUUGAAUCAAAUUAGUUAACCCAUUAAGUUGGUUUAUAAAAGAUGGUAUAGGCUAGGACCAUGGAUUACAUCAAAUUGAUUUUCAGUUUAUUGGUGUAAGAUUUGUGUUUAUCUACACAUGUCCUCUCCUAGUCUAAUUAGGAUUGUUGACUUGUUGACCGCACCUAUAUAUAUACAUGCAUGGCUAUGCAACCGGGGAAGAGGCGUCAUGUGUGAGAAAAUUAAUUAGCAUCGGGCUAAUUAAUUCACAAGCUUCCGAGGCGUACGGCAGCAAGGAACCUAAUUAAUUAAGGUGGCUCCGUCCGUAUGGUUAGAGAAGAAGCACCGCGUCUUUGCAUGCGACGUCGGAUUGGAGUCGGCAGCAGGAGCGGCGGUUCUUAACCAAUUGCCUGAGCAGUUCGGAUUCUUCGAAGCAACGGCAUAAAGGAAUUUGGUUAGAGUUUCUAUACUUCUCUAAUUUGGUUCUCAGUUUUACGAAAAGCUUUUUCAGUAUUUUCUUGGAGUUUUCGUUGGAACAAGAAAGGUGGGAUUCACCAUAAGGUUCUUGGUUUUUUUUAUCCGGAGAAGACAUAAGGUGUAAGCUUAUACUUCUAUUUCUUCAUAUAGUGGAAUACAUCUCUCUCGCUCUCCCCGUGGACGUAAGUAAUUGCCGAAACACGUAAAUCUUAGUUUCUUCUUUCUGCAUUUAUUUCUUUUACCGUUCGGUCGAUUUUCUCUAUUUUUCGUGCAUCCUUGUUGGUAGCACAUGACGGACGAUCCAUCCGGUUCCCAACAAGUGGUAUCAGAGCGUAAGGUUCGUGCUACAUCAGAGAUGUCGAAAGUCUCGUCUUCUAAGUUUGAGGUGGAGAAAUUUGACGGUAAAGAAAACUUCGAUCUCUGGCAGAGAAGAGUGAAAGCCCUUCUGGUUCAACAGGGCCUUCAUAAGGCAUUGCUCGGAAAAUCGAAAAAGCCGACAUCGAUGAGCGACGAAGAUUGGGAGGAUAUUAAUCUGCAAGCGGUGAAUACAAUUAUAUUGUGUCUAGCAGAUGAAGUGAUGUAUAACGUAAUGGAUGAAGAAACUACAGUCGGCAUGUGGGACAAGCUAGAGAAGCUGUACAUGACCAAAAGCCUCUCGAACGUGCUGUACCUAAAGCAAAAAUUAUAUGGACUACGCAUGAAGGAAGGUACGGCAAUAACGGAACACUUGAACACCUUUAAUAAAUUAUUGCGGAUUUGCUAAGCAUUAAUGUCAAGGUUGACGAGGACGAUAAGGCGUUGAUUUUUCUUACAUCACUUCCGUCGUCCUACAAUCACUUGGUGAUCACCAUACUGUACGGGAAGCAAACUCUAAAGAUGGAAGAUGUUACAUCGACACUUUUAUCUGAAGAGAUCAGGUUGCAGGCGAGUACCGAAGAAAGCAGUGCAGGUUUGGUCGUAAAUGAUACAAGUGGAGGAAGGGGACGAUCAAGCGAACGUGAUGCAGGUAAAGGAAGAUCCCGUUCCAAGUCAAAAUCGAAAAAGGUGAAGUGUUACUUCUGUAGAAAAAAGGGCCACAUGAAAAAGAACUGCGAAAAGAGGAAGGCUUGGCUGCGAAAUCAGAAUUCCUCUGCAGAUACGGCGAGCGUAGCGAGUGAUUCCGGUCAGGACGUCUUGACGGUUACAACAGAUUUUGACUCUCACGGUGACUGGAUAUUAGAUUCUGGUUGUUCUUAUCACAUGUCUCCANNNNNNNNNNNNNNNNNNNNNNNNNGAUUUGCCAAAGGAGUUCUGGGCUGAAGCAGUAGAUAUGGCGUGCUAUAUUAUUAAUCGAUCUCCCGCCACAGCAAUCGAACUCAAAACACCGGAGGAAGUAUGGACAGGUAAACUUGCAGAUUAUUCCUCCUUACGGGUCUUUGGUUGUCCUGCUUAUGUCCAUAUCCAGAAAAAUCAGCGCACAAAAUUAGAUUCGAAGUCAAAGCCCUGCAUAUUUCUUGGGUACGAUAUGGGUGUUAAAGGAUACAAGCUGUGGGACCCUAUCGCCAAGAAGAAGGUGAUUAGCAGGGACGUAGUUUUUGACGAAAAAGUUAUGCCGCGUAAAGAUCAUCAGGAGGCUCAACGUGAAGAACAGUAAAAAACUACGCAGAUCCAGGUAGAGCGGCAAGAGGGUGUAGAUGAUCAGGUGGAGCAGCCCCACUAUCAGGAUGAUCAUGGUACACAAAGCGAUCCGAUUGAAAGCACUUCGGAGGAGCCCUACUCUAUCGCUAAAGGAAGGGAAAGGAGAUAGAUUCGUCCACCUUUACGGUACAGGUUGGAGGAUAUAGUAUCUUAUGCCUUAUUAAUUACAUCAGAUGAUCCCACUUCCUAUCAGGAGGCGAUGCAGGACAGAGAUAGUGGCAGAUGGAUAGCGGCUAAGAAUCAGAAUGAAGUGCAACAAUUAAAGGAUUAGUUGAGCCGAGAAUUCGACAUGAAGGACCUAGGAGGUGCUAGAAAAAUCCUAGGUAUGGAGAUCAGACGCGACCGCAUACAGGGUAAGUUGUGGUUGUCGCAGAAGACAUAUAUAUGAGCUAUUAUAAAGCAAUUUAAUAUGUCAGAGGCGAAGGCGGUCAAGACUCCAUUAGCCCAACACUUCAAACUUUCUGAGGAGAUGUGUCCCAAGACGGAUGAGGAGAUUACUUCUACGUCAAAGAUACCAUAUGCUAGUGCAAUCAGUUGCCUGAUGUAUGCUAUGAUCUGCACUAGGCCUGAUCUUUCACAUGCAGUUAGUAUUGUCAGUCGGUAUAUGUCGAAUCCAGGGAAACAGCACUGGGAGGCCGUGAAGUGGAUUUUGCGGUAUCUGAAGGGCACAUCAGAUAAAAGUAUUCUCUACUCGAAAGAUUCUGGUAAUGAUGAAGUGAAGGGGUUUGUAGAUUCCGACUAUGCGGGUGAUUUGGACAAGCGUUGGUCUAUUACAGAUUACGUCUUUCUGCUGUGCGGCGGACCUAUCAUUUGGAAAUCUACGUUGCAGCGCACUGUAGCCUUGUCAACUACAGAAGCGGAGUAUAUGGCGGAAAUUGAAGCAGCUAAGGAAGCAGUCUGGCUUAGAGGCUUGGUUGGUGAACUCGGGAUUGUGCAAGAAAAAAUGAUUAUCGGUUGUGAUAGUCAGAGUGCUAUAUGUCUCGCCAGGAAUCCAGUUUACCAUGGGAGGACAAAGCACAUAGAAAUCAAGUAUCACAANUAUAUAUAUAGUAGGAUGAAAAGAUUUGAUAAAAAAAUUCGAAAUUUAGUUUCUAUAUAUUUCAAGUGGUACAUAUUAUGUUCAAAGAUAUCGAUCGUUAAUUUGGAGGUUCUAUCAUCGAAAAUAAAUGAAUGACAGUAAAGCCUGUUUACUAGAUAGCAUUCGAGCUCAACUCUCUCUCUUUCUUUCUCUAUCUAUAUAUAUAUAUAAUAUUUUGAUCAAUUGACUAAUUAAUAUUAUCAUUUUAAAUUGAUAGAAUAUGAUUUUAGGUGGUGAAUUAGAAGUUGUGCAGUUAACAUAAAAAACUUGUCUGUAUCCAAUGGGUGAAAGCUCCAAUGGUACUGAUACGCAUAAUCCUUUCAAAAAAAAACAACUAAAAAACUUAUUUGAUUUGUAAAAAAUUAGCUGUGCCCGCAAUUAUUUAUCCAUCAUUCAUGUCAAUUAGCGUCGAGAUCAACCUUUCCAUUAUUAUUAAUUAUUCAAGUUACCAUUCGAGUUAAUACAACGGCUUCUUUCUUUCUUUAUUUCUUUUCUUUUUCUUUUCUUUUUUUUUUUACAAUUGGUGAUUAUGUGGUCCAUAUAUAAAAAGUGGAUAUUUAUAGAUAGCAAGAUUUGAUAGCGAAAACAUAUCUGUUCAUAGUACUGUUAAUUACUCUAUUUAAAUAUUAUCUUUUUAUCCUUCAAAAAAUAUUAGGGUUAAUUUUAUACAACUCUCUGUAAAUAUAUCGUAUCGCAAAUGUAUCCCUACAAAGUUUAACUUUUUAUAUUUAUUCCUAUAAAAAUUCAAUGAUAUUCAUAUUUAUCCCUCUGAUUUAUUACCAUUAUAGUACUAUUUAUUUUCUAACAGAAAAUAAAUAAAAUUAUAUUUCUAUUAUUACAAAUAUGUCUCUCCAAAAGCCCAAUUAUUAAAAUUAUGAAGAAAUGUCCUCCAAAAAAUUUCCAAAGAUUUUCUUCUUCCUUUCUACCAUUACAAAUAAUAUAAAAGUGAUAAAAAGAUCAAUUUAGCUCAUUUACUAAUCAUGGGUAAGUAUUUUACGUUCCAAUCGUUAACUGUUUUUUUCUAACGGAUCUUAAUAAUGUUAAGAAUAUGCCUUCUUUUGAACUUGGGUUGAAUCAAAUUAGUUAACCCAUUAAGUUGGUUUAUAAAAGAUGGUAUAGGCUAGGACCAUGGAUUACAUCAAAUUGAUUUUCAGUUUAUUGGUGUAAGAUUUGUGUUUAUCUACACAUGUCCUCUCCUAGUCUAAUUAGGAUUGUUGACUUGUUGACCGCACCUAUAUAUAUACAUGCAUGCCUAUGCAACCGGU